AUGGAGUUUGAAGAUGUUAUCAGUGAAAGCCUUAGCUACAGUAUUAGCUGUAAUGGGGUGUUUCAUUGGGAUAAAGUGGUUGUAUUUAGUGAACCUGUCCACCACAACCAAAAUCAUGUUCUUGUUGUGAGAAGUAGGAAGACCUUCCAUAAAAUCCAUGCUUAUGUGGCACCAGGCAAAGUCUGGGACUGGCAGAGGUUGGAGCAGCCCAGGGUACUUGCAGUGUUCAGCUUUGUUUAUUUGACAGGUUGGGCAUUGUUUAAUAUAGUCAACAACAAAUUGCUUCAUGCCAGGCCAAUGGAAGAGAAGCUUAACUCUUUGGUAUGUAGCUCUUUGACCAGAAUGGCCACCAAGUUCAGAGCUAUGUAA
rnacentral:rRNA from 1 species